rnacentral:tRNA from 1 species
CCCUGGGUAGCUCAGUUGGUAGAGCAUGACGCUCAUAAUCUCAGGGAAGUGGGUUUGUGUCCCACGUCAGGUG